AUGAUGGAAGACAAUGAAGAAGAAGAGGACGACGACGACUAUCCUGGCCAUGGGUUCCCUGAAUACGAUGAUACAACAAUGGGGGAAGAAGCUGAGCCGGCAAUGCAGAAAGAAGCUGAAGAAGAGGCAUCCGAUGAGCCCGCUGAUGAUCUAGGUCGGGCCAUUGCCGAUGCAAAGAGAAACUGCGCAAGUGAUCUGGAGAGGACGAAGUUGCAGCGCAUGUUAGAGGAUCACAAGAAAUCAUUGUACCCGAAUUGCGAAGCUGACAAAAAAAAGUUAGGCACCACACUUGAAUUGCUGCAAUGGAAGGCAGAGAAUGGUGUAUCUGACAAGGGAUUUGGAAAGUUGCUGGUAAUGAUAAAGAAUAUGCUUCCAAAGGACAACGAAUUGCCCGAGAGUACGUAUGAAGCAAAGAAGGCUGUCUGCCCUCUAGGGUUAGAGGUGCAAAAGAUACAUGCAUGCCCUAAUGACUGCAUCCUCUACCGCGGUGAGUACGAGGAUUUGAAUGCUUUCCCGGUAUGCGGUGCAUUGCGUUAUAAGAUCAGUCGCGAUGACCCUGGUGAUGUCGAGGGUGAGCACCCCAGGAAGAAGAUUCCUGCCAAUGUGAUGCGGUAUGCUCCU
rnacentral:rRNA from 1 species